rnacentral:rRNA from 1 species
UACGGAAGGGGCAAGCGUUGUUCGGAAUCAUUGGGCGUAAGGGGCGCGUAGGUGGUUCUGUAUGUCUACCGUGAAAGCGUACGGCUCAACCGUAUUUUGUCGGUGGAAACUGCAGGACUUGAGGCUGGGAGGGGCUGGUGGAAUUCCCUGUGUAGCGGUGAAAUGCGUAGAGAUGGGGGAGAACACUCGUGGCGAAGGCGGCCAGCUAGACCAGUUCUGACACUGAGGCGCGAAAGCGUGGGGAGCAAACAGG